rnacentral:rRNA from 1 species
AUAGCCCAGGGAAACCUGGAUUAAGUACCGGAUGGAGACGGGACCCGCGAUGGCGGGACCCGGGAAAGGCGCUGCGGCGCCGCCGGGGGAUGAGUCUGCGUCCCGAUUAGCUAGACGGCGGGGUAACGGCCCACCGUGGCGACGAUGGGUAGCCGGCCUGAGAGGGUGGACGGCCACAUUGGAACUGAGACACGGUCCAGACUCCUACGGGAGGCAGCAGCUAAGAAUCUUCCGCAAUGGGCGAAAGCCUGACGGAGCGAACCGCCGCGUGAACGAAGAAGGCCGUGAGGUUGUAAAGUUCUUUUCGGGAGGGGGAACAACCGUGGCAGGGAAUGGCCGCGGGAUGACGUGAAUCCCGGAAUAAGCCCCGGCUAACUACGUGCCAGCAGCAGC